rnacentral:rRNA from 1 species
UGGGGAAUAUUGCACAAUGGGCGAAAGCCUGAUGCAGCAACGCCGCGUGAGUGAUGAAGGCCUUCGGGUUGUAAAGCUCUGUCUUUUGGGACGAUAAUGACGGUACCAAAGGAGGAAGCCACGGCUAACUACGUGCCAGCAGCCGCGGUAAUACGUAGGUGGCAAGCGUUGUCCGGAUUUACUGGGCGUAAAGGAUGCGUAGGCGGAUUUUUAAGUGAGAUGUGAAAUACCCGGGCUUAACUUGGGUGCUGCAUUUCAAACUGGGAAUCUAGAGUGCGGGAGAGGAGAACGGAAUUCCUAGUGUAGCGGUGAAAUGCGUAGAGAUUAGGAAGAACACCAGUGGCGAAGGCGAUUCUCUGGACCGUAACUGACGCUGAGGCAUGAAAGCGUGGGUAGCAAACAGGAUUAGAUACCCUGGUAGUCCACGCCGUAAACGAUGAGUACUAGGUGUAGGAGGUAUCGACCCCUUCUGUGCCGCAGUUAACACAAUCAAGUACUCCGCCUGGGAAGUACGAUCGCAAGAUUAAAACUCAAAUGAAUUGACGGGGUC